UUGAACGCUGGCGGCGUGCUUCACACAUGCAAGUCGAACGGAAAGGCCCAGCUUGCUGGGUACUCGAGUGGCGAACGGGUGAGUAACACGUGGGUGAUCUGCCCUGGACUCUGGGAUAAGCCUGGGAAACUGGGUCUAAUACCGGAUAGGACCACUGAUUGCAUGGUUGGUGGUGGAAAGCUUUUGCGGUUCAGGAUGGGCCCGCGGCCUAUCAGCUUGUUGGUGGGGUAAUGGCCUACCAAGGCGACGACGGGUAGCCGACCUGAGAGGGUGAUCGGCCACACUGGGACUGAGACACGGCCCAGACUCCUACGGGAGGCAGCAGUGGGGAAUAUUGCACAAUGGGCGCAAGCCUGAUGCAGCGACGCCGCGUGAGGGAUGACGGCCUUCGGGUUGUAAACCUCUUUCGCUAGGGACGAAGCGUAAGUGACGGUACCUGGAGAAGAAGCACCGGCCAACUACGUGCCAGCAGCCGCGGUAAUACGUAGGGUGCGAGCGUUGUCCGGAAUUACUGGGCGUAAAGAGCUCGUAGGCGGAUUGUCGCGUCGUCUGUGAAAUUCUGCAACUC
rnacentral:rRNA from 1 species